CCUACGGGAGGCAGCAGUGGGGAAUAUUGGACAAUGGGCGCAAGCCUGAUCCAGCAAUGCCGCGUGUGUGAAGAAGGCUUUAGGGUUGUAAAGCACUUUCAGCGGUGAAGAAAGGCCCUGUACUAAUAUUGCAGGGAGAAGACAUUAGCCGCAGAAGAAGCACCGGCUAACUCUGUGCCAGCAGCCGCGGUAAUACAGAGGGUGCGAGCGUUAAUCGGAAUUACUGGGCGUAAAGGGUGCGUAGGUGGCGAGAUAAGUCAGGUGUGAAAUCCCCGGGCUCAACCUGGGAACGGCGCUUGAGACUGUUUAGCUAGAGUACUGUAGAGGGAAGUAGAAUUUCCGGUGUAGCGGUGAAAUGCGUAGAUAUCGGAAGGAAUACCAGUGGCGAAGGCGGCUUUCUGGACAGAAACUGACACUGAGGCACGAAAGCGUGGGUAGCAAACAGGAUUAGAUACCCUGGUAGUCCACGCCGUAAACGAUGAUAACUUGCUGUUGGGACCGUAAAGGUUUUAGUAGCGAAGCUAACGCGCUAAGU
rnacentral:rRNA from 1 species